rnacentral:rRNA from 1 species
CCUACGGGUGGCAGCAGUGGGGAAUAUUGGACAAUGGGCGAAAGCCUGAUCCAGCCAUGCCGCGUGUGUGAAGAAGGCCUUCGGGUUGUAAAGCACUUUCAGUGGGGAAGAAAGCCUUGGGGCUAAUACCCUCGAGGAAGGACAUCACCCACAGAAGAAGCACCGGCUAACUCCGUGCCAGCAGCCGCGGUAAUACGGAGGGUGCGAGCGUUAAUCGGAAUUACUGGGCGUAAAGCGCGCGUAGGCGGUCUGAUAAGCCGGUUGUGAAAGCCCCGGGCUCAACCUGGGAACGGCAUCCGGAACUGUUAGGCUAGAGUGCAGGAGAGGAAGGUAGAAUUCCCGGUGUAGCGGUGAAAUGCGUAGAGAUCGGGAGGAAUACCAGUGGCGAAGGCGGCCUUCUGGACUGACACUGACGCUGAGGUGCGAAAGCGUGGGUAGCAAACAGGAUUAGAUACCCUAGUAGUC